AACAAGAUUGUGGGUCUUGCUCCUACAUAUCCUCAGGUGCGAUGAGAAAUUCAAAACGACGUGGUUCUGGGUAAGUCAAAAGAUAUUUUUAGUUUUUUUUGUUAUAGUGCUUGACAAGCUGAUGAAUCGUGCUCCUACAUAUCCCUAGGUGUGAUGGGGAACUCAAAGCUACGUAGUUCUUGGUAGAAAAUGAGUGUUGG
rnacentral:lncRNA from 1 species